UGAGCUUGAUCCUGGCUCAGGACGAACGCUGGCGGUAUGCCUAAUACAUGCAAGUCGAACGCUGAAGCACUCUGCUUGCAGAGUGUGGAUGAGUGGCGAACGGGUGAGUAACACGUGGGGAACCUGCCCAUAAGAGGGGGAUAACAUCCGGAAACGGGUGCUAAUACCGCAUAGGUGAUCAUAGCGCAUGCUUAGAUCAUUAAAGAUGGCUUCGGCUAUCGCUUAUGGAUGGCCCCGCGGCGUAUUAGCUAGUUGGUGAGGUAAUGGCUCACCAAGGCUGUGAUACGUAGCCGACCUGAGAGGGUGAUCGGCCACACUGGAACUGAGACACGGUCCAGACUCCUACGGGAGGCAGCAGUAGGGAAUCUUCCACAAUGGGCGAAAGCCUGAUGGAGCAAUACCGCGUGAGUGAAGAAGGUCUUCGGAUCGUAAAGCUCUGUUGUUAGAGAAGAACAAGAGGUGUAGUAACUGGCACCUCCUUGACGGUAUCUAACCAAAGCCG
rnacentral:rRNA from 1 species